UAAGGAAUCUUCCACAAUGGGCGAAAGCCUGAUGGAGCAACGCCGCGUGCAGGAUGAAGGCCUUCGGGUCGUAAACUGCUUUUAUUAGUGAAGAAUAUGACGGUAACUAAUGAAUAAGGAUCGGCUAACUACGUGCCAGCAGCCGCGGUCAUACGUAGGAUCCGAGCAUUAUCCGGAGUGACUGGGCGUAAAGAGUUGCGUAGGUGGCUUGUAAAGCAAAUGGUGAAAUCUGGGGGCUCAACCUCACAGACUAUUAUUUGAACUCACAAGCUCGAGAACAGCAGAGGUAACUGGAAUUUCUGAAGUAGGGGUAAUAUCCGUAGAUAUCAGAAGGAACACCAAUGGCGUAGGCAGGUUACUGGGCUGUUUCUGACACUGAGGCACGAAAGCGUGGGGAGCG
rnacentral:rRNA from 1 species